rnacentral:rRNA from 1 species
UACAGAGGUCUCGAGCGUUGUUCGGAUUCAUUGGGCGUAAAGGGUGCGUAGGUGGCACUGUAAGUCGGGUGUGAAAUCCUGGGGCUUAACCCCGGAACUGCAUUCGAUACUGCAGUGCUUGAGGACUGGAGAGGAGACUGGAAUUCAUGGUGUAGCAGUGAAAUGCGUAGAGAUCAUGAGGAACACCAGUGGCGAAGGCGAGUCCCUGGACAAUACCUGACACUGAGGCACGAAAGCUAGGGGAGCAAACAGG